rnacentral:rRNA from 1 species
CGAAGGGUGCGAGCGUUGUUCGGAAUUAUUGGGCGUAAAGCGCACGUAGGCGGCCAGGUAAGUCUGUCUGUGAAAGCCCGGGGCUCAACCCCGUGGAUUGCAGGGGAUACUGCCUGGCUGGAGACAAGCAGAGGUUGGUAGAAUUCCGGGUGUAGCGGUGGAAUGCGUAGAGAUCCGGAGGAAUACCAGAGGCGAGGGCGGCCAACUGGGCUUGUUCUGACGCUGAGGUGCGAAAGCGUGGGGAGCGAACAGGAUUAGAUACCCUGGUAGUCCACGCCGUAAACGAUGGGCACUAGAUGCCGGUGGGAACGACCCCUUCGGUGUCGCAGCUAACGCACUAAGUGCCCAGCCUGGGGAGUACGGCCGCAAGGCUG